UGUGUUAGAAUUUUGAUGAAGAUUUCAUUGAAUCUGCAGAUUGUGUUUGCCUCCCAACACAAGUGCCACCAGCCAAGGGAUAAGCAUUCAGAACGUGAACUAGAGGGAGACAUUGCAGAUUCAAACCACAACAGACUUGUCAAAAAUUUCUUCAGAAGGAGAAACAAGGUCAUUUUCCUGAUUCCAUAGCAUUCAUCUUGGCACAGCAGAGGACCUGGGGCUCAGUAUCCUGGGAGCUGAUAACACUGGGAUCCUGGGGGCUAUGUUAGCCCUUGUUAGCCAGCAUUGAUCAUCCUGGACCAUUUGCCUAAGGAUGGCAUCACCCACAGUGGGCUGGACCCUUCCAUAUCAUUCAUUAAUCAAGAAAAUGUACCACAGUCUUGCCCACAGGCCAAUCUAAUGGAGGCCUCUUCUCAGUUGAGGAUCCCUCCACCCAGAUGACUCUAGCUUGUGUCAAUCUGACAACAACAACAACAACAACAAAAACAGUACUGUGUCUAAUUUCUGUCUCAGUUAGUGUGGCUGCUGUACCAGAAUACCAUUGACUGGGGCUUGAACAAUUGAAAUUUGUGUGUCAGAGGCCGAGAAGUUCAAGGUCAAGGGGCUGGCAGAUUCAGUAUGUGCUGAGGGCCUUCCUCUUGAGUUCAGACCAUCUUAUAGCUUCCCAUGGUGGAGAGGAGGGAAUAAGGGAAGAGAGGGAGGAAGGUGUUCCAGGAUUGCAGUAUGCACCACACCUACCUUGUCACAUCUCUGUGCACACCUAUAGAGGCCAGAGGUCAGUGUCACGUGUU